UUGUACACCACGUAUUUAUAAUAAAAAAACCCCUAAAAUACUAAGAGAAUAUAAUACAAUGAAGAGUUCCAUAUAGUGUGAAGUACUAAUAUAAUAGACUAACAAAUAAUGGAGUGAUUGAGUUAGAAUAGGAUUUCAAAACCUGCCAAAUACGUCUUUAACUUCUUCAAGACAUACUACAAACUCCGAAUAAAACUCCCAAUCAUCGAAAUUCUAAUAAAUCUUCAUCUUGAUACAAUUUCCACUACAAGGAUCAAAACUGCAAUUAAAAAAAAAAAAAAAUCUUUACUUGGAGACGAAUUCCACUGCAAGGAACAGUAACUCUUCAACAAAAAUUCUCCACCUAUUUCACAAAAGUCCCUAAGGUUCAAAUCACAACUAACUCCAUCUAAGUCCAUGCUUACCAAAGCACCAGCAACCAAAUCAUCAUCAUCGAACUUCUCUUGAGGUCUAAUAUCUCUUUCCUUCAAUUUUAGUGACAGUUACAUCAAACAUGAUUAUAGAACUGCAUACUUGCCAUGCCGAAAAUCAUACCUUGAUCUGAGUUGAUCAAACCUCGCCCUAAUACAAAACCGAACCGGCUCUCCCAAGAACUAUUAAACCAGACUUUGAUAUCACUUGUUAGAAAACAAGCUAAUUAUUAUGAAUAUAAAAGACGAGAUAAUGAACAAGAUGUAUAUAACAAUCACAAGAACGAAAGAUUUACAUGGAAAACAAACUAGAAAAAUCACAGGCAGAGAAAGAAAAUUUACUAGUAAUCAAUAAUGGAUGAUUACAAAGGAUUUCUUUGGAUCAGCCUAAUUGAUCAAUCUCAAUAUGUAUUAUACAUCACAUAUUUAUAAUCAAAGAAUC
rnacentral:lncRNA from 1 species